ACCCGCCUCGGCCUCCCAAAGUGCUGGGAUUACAGGCGUGAGCCAGGGCGCCCGGCCAAAUUUUUUUUUUUUCUUUUUUUUUGAGAUGGAGUCUCACACUGUCACCCAGGCUGGAGUGCAGUGAUGCAAUCAUGGCUCACUGCAACCUCGAACUCUUGGGCUCAAGCAAUCCCAAAGUGCUGGGAUUACAGGCAUGUGCCACUGCAUUGGCUUCACCUAUCAUACCAUUUGGAUUGUUAUACAUGUCAUCAAUCAACAACUACCUAAUAAACCUGCCAAUUAAAUAAUUCUUAGUUGUUAUCCCUAAUGUGAAUUAAAUAUAUACAAAUAUUUAAAUAUAAUAAUUAAAGAGAACUAUUUGCUGCCAAAAACCUUCUUGGAAGAGAGAACAGGGGUGGGAGUGGUGUGGGUGUCAAGGUAUAGAUGGAAUCUCCUGUACAUAAGGCAUAUCAUACAUCUAAGAGUCCUUAAAAGCUGCAUUUUAGAUAGUUGAGGCUUUGCCCUUCCAUUUAGAAGGUUGCUCUGGGAAAAAGUAUUAAAAAAGACCAAGUAAUUUAAAAAUGGCCAUGAUUAGCUUGAACUUGAUUAUAUACUUCUUCUUAGUCCUAGUUUUUCUUAAAACUAGACUGAAGAUAUCAGUGGUAUCUGACAGGCUGACGAUAUCAGUGAUUAAGUUUCUUCCCUACAGGUGUAGAAAUAGGUCUGGAGUGUAAAAUAAUAAUUAACCACAAAUAUACACAAUUAUCUAUUCAAUCAAAAAAAAUUUUUUUUAAGUAAAUUAAAAUUUUUCUUUUCCUUCUAAGGUGAGUCAUUAGUGCAAUAAGUGUAGGAAUAGAUAAUAAUUCCAAACAUAUCUGAAGAAAAUGGUCCAUGGAGUGAAUCACCAAUGUAGUUAAUUAGUCUGUAUACAACUGACAAUGUAUCUCCACAAAUUAUCUAGUUUUUCAAUGAAAUAUUCUCAAAAUCAAUUUAUCAAAGAAGAUUUAAUCAUCCCCUUCCCUGCUUUUUUUUAAAGAGAUAAGGUCUCAACUAUGUGCCCAGGUUGGAGUGCAGUGGCUGGUCACAGAUGCAAUCACAGUGCACUGCAGGCUCAAACUCCUGGGACCAAGUGAUCCUCCCGCCUUUGAAUCCAGAAUACCUGGAACUACAAGCACAUGUGAUUGCACCUGGCAGAUUUAGUUACUAAAAUUUUUACUUUCAGUACCUAUUCAGCACCGUGUAAAAAUUCAGGAAUGAAGAUUCCUAACACAUUGGAUUCUACUUCUCAUGCAUUACAUUUCUCUUUUAAGUGAAAUAUGUCCAAUAUAUACAAUAAUGCACAAUCAUGAAGUGAUCCAUAUAAUUACUAUAUUAUAUACUAUACUUCUAACUUGAGAGGUUUUAAAUACUUUUAAUUAUAAAUUCUUUGAUAUAUUUCCAUACAUGCUGUAAAAACAAGGUAAUUCAAAAUACGUAAUCAUCAGUUAAAUAUGGUAACAUAAAAAAAUUCUUAAGUCAUAUUGAUGAUCUUUGUCACUGAAAUAUACAGUUUCCUAAGACUUAGAUAAAAAUAUAGUUUAAAGGAGUCACAGGUGAAAUGAAACACAUUUGGAAUGAAGCUGAUAUACGGUCCUUUGAAAACACCCUAGAGAUUAAUUGGCAAAAAAAAGUAGUUAGUAUUUCAUUGUCUUUUGGUUUAUAAUAUAAGGCUAACUACAUAGGAAUCAGGAAACUAAGUCCUGAUGCUUAAGUCCCAUAAGGACUAGUUAAUUUUACAUGUAUCUGUUUGAAAACCAGAUCAGCUGUAACAGAAAUGUAUGCCUCUGGGGACUGAGUACAAAAUAACCACCUUUGUCUGAAAAAUGUCCAUCAUAUUAUCUUCACAAAGAAAAUCUUUAUUAAAAAAAAAACUCACUCAAUGAAACUGAAUGUAAAAUACUGGAAAGUCUAAUUGAAAAGGCAUCUUUGUUAAUGGUCAGGAACUUACUAGUUCUGCCUUAUAUAGUUGUGAUUUUCUCAUUCUAACAUGUAUACUCAAAUCAGGCUGAGACCAUGUCUUAAACUGUCAUAUAGUUCAUGCAAUCUAUAGUGCCCAAUACAAGUGCUGUACAUGUGGCAAAGCACACAAUAUUAAUGAAAUUAAUGAAAACGAAUCUCCUUUUCUUUCGACAUUAACAAAGAGUAACAAUCAAAAAAUACAACAUUAAAAGGAGAAAAUGUGAAAAUACAUUUUGUACUAUUAUUUCAUUUGGGUUUGUUUCUAAAGUACUAUAAAAUUUUGCAGAUGUUGUCAGAUUCUAGUUAGAGUUCAGCUUCUCGUAAUUUCUACUAAUUGAAAAGUAAAGUGUUAUCUUUAUUCUCAGAGAACACCUAUCAUCAGUAAGAUAUAUGCUUAAAAAUAGAGACAAAAACCCAAAACACAAGAUUUUGGGAGUUUAUCCUCUCAUCUGGUAUGCCUUGAAACGAAUUUAUUACAACAUAUACCUGAGUUCAUAUGAUAUGAAUGGUGUGCUAAGUACCUAGAAGCAUUAACAUAAUAUUGUAUGUGGAUAUAUAUAUGUAUCAGCAUCACAGUCUUAUACUUAGGUAGAAAUCUCUUCUGUGAUUCUGAAAGUUCUUUAUACAAAGUUAACUACCCAGAACAAGAAGAGAACUCAUAUAAUAAUUCUACUAAUUAUCUGUAUGAACGUCUGCCGUAAGUUCCCUUUGUCCACUUUAUGUGUUAAAACCUGAUAGAUGCAAUGCUUUCUCAAUGAUCUGAUCCUGUAAUCUCACUGCUAUCACAUUCUGAAUCACUUAACGGUCAGCGCUGAAUAAUACACAUUAGAAAUAUAUUGUACCAUUAUACAAUUUAUAUCAGUCCAUUUAUAUCAGUAUGAUGGGCUUACAGCAUCUGAUAUACCAUCUGUGCAAAAAUAAGGUAAAAUUCACAAUGUAACUUCAGUCAUGCACCGCUUAACUAAGGGAUAUGUUCUGAGAAACACAUUGUUAGGUGAUUUCAGUUGUGUGAACAUCAUAGUUACAUAAACCUAGAUGGUAAAGCCUACCAUCUACCACUAUAUGAAUAUAAUCUUAUGGGACCCCUUUGUAUAUGUAGUUCAGAGGCAACUGAAACUUCGUUACGUGACACAUGACUGUAUUUUAAAUUUAGAAAGAUUCUGGCAAACAUGGGAUCACUAUAGGCUGUAAUGGUUAUUUAUAUAUAAAUGGGUUUGGAAAAGUAGAGCCAAUUUCAGAUUAACUGUACCAAUACUGAGUAACUAUACUGAGAAUACAAAAAUUAUUUCUUUAAACCUCUGAAAUGUACUAUAAUUUUAGAAGCAGAUUUAUUUUUGUACUUUGAUUGUCUCAGAUUAAAAUACUUUUGCAUUCUCUGUGCACGUAUUGUCUUAAUAAUGGAAGAAAUUUCAGGGCAAGGUAGAGGAAGGCCACCCAGUAAUUAAAGACUUGCAGGUAUAAAAAAUUACCUCCACAUUGAACCAUUUUGCUUUAUAUCUAUACACUUACUAAAAAACACCUUGACUUUUGAGAUCACAUUAUUUGCUGUAAGAUAAUACUGUUUUAAACACACCUAAAGUCUUUCAGCAUCCUUUUGUUUAUAUGGCCCUACUUUAUAUACAGGAUAAAAAAAAAAGCCCCCAAACUUAAGGUCGAAAGCAAGGGUGUCCAAUCUUUUGACUUCCCUGGGCCACACUGGAAGAACUGUCUUGGGCCACACAUAAAAUAUACUAACACUAGCGAUAGCUGAGAUUAAAAAAAAAAUUGCAAAAAAAAAAUAUCUCAUGUUUUAAUUAAGUUUACAAAUUUGUGUUGGGCCACAUUCAAAGUCAUUCUGGGUGGUAUGUGGCACACGGGCCUCAGGUUGGAAAAGCUUGGUCUGAAGUAAAUGAAUUCUAACUUUUAUUUAUAAGAUAAAUUCUUAGAAAAUGUUUUAGAUGACUUCAAAAUAGAAAAAAGGUUUAAGCUCUUUAGACUAUUCUGAAAAUGUUUCAUUAUUAAAUAAUGCAGUAAGUACCAUUUAAACUUUCACAAAAAAAUGGAACAAAUCUUUCAUGAAUAAACUUUAAAACUCAAGCUUUUUAAAAAAAUAUAUAAAGUAUAUAUAGGAAGUAUUUAAGUACACUUUCAUUGUAGCUGGAAAUAAACUUGGCUCCUGAUGUUCUAUAUUUAAAAACUGUCAGUUGUAUAGUACUAGUACUAAACAGCUAGGAAGUCAAUUUCUUUAUCAACUUUGAUGUUAUCAUUUGACAAGAUUUGCAAUCAUAAAUUUCUUAGGCUUUACAACUUAGAAGUACGUUAGUGAUCAUUCAGUCUUUUUUUUUUUUUUUUGAGAUAGAGUCUUGCUCUGUCGCCCAGGCUGGAGUGCAGUGGCAUGAUCUUGGCUCACUGCAACCUCUGCCUCCUGGGUUCAGGCGAUUCCCUUGCCUCAGCCUCUUGAGUAGCUGGGAUUACAGGCAUGCACCACCAUGCCCGGAUAAUUUUUGUAUUUUUAGUAGAGAUGGGGUUUUGCCAUGUUGGCCAGGCU
rnacentral:lncRNA from 1 species